rnacentral:rRNA from 1 species
GAUGAACGCUGGCGGCGUGCCCAAUACAUGCAAGUCGAGCGAACAGACGAGGAGCUUGCUCCUCUGACGUUAGCGGCGGACGGGUGAGUAACACGUGGAUAACCUACCUAUAAGACUGGGAUAACUUCGGGAAACCGGAGCUAAUACCGGAUAAUAUAUUGAACCGCAUGGUUCAAUAGUGAAAGACGGUUUUGCUGUCACUUAUAGAUGGAUCCGCGCCGCAUUAGCUAGUUGGUAAGGUAACGGCUUACCAAGGCAACGAUGCGUAGCCGACCUGAGAGGGUGAUCGGCCACACUGGAACUGAGACACGGUCCAGACUCCUACGGGAGGCAGCAGUAGGGAAUCUUCCGCAAUGGGCGAAAGCCUGACGGAGCAACGCCGCGUGAGUGAUGAAGGUCUUCGGAUCGUAAAACUCUGUUAUUAGGGAAGAACAAGUGUGUAAGUAACUAUGCACGUCUUGACGGUACCUAAUCAGAAAGCCACGGCUAACUACGUG